CCUACGGGAGGCAGCAGUGAGGAAUAUUGGUCAAUGGCCGGAAGGCUGAACCAGCCAUGCCGCGUGAAGGUCAGUGCCCUAUGGGCGUUAAACUUCUUUUGUGCGGGAGCAAUAAUGGUCACGUGUGGCCAGACGAGAGUACCGUACGAAUAAGCAUCGGCUCACUCCGUGCCAGCAGCCGCGGUAAUACGGGGGAUGCAAGCGUUAUCCGGAUUUAUUGGGUUUAAAGGGUGCGUAGGCUGUGAGGUAAGUCAGCGGUGAAAUGCCCCCGCUCAACGGGGUGAAGUGCCAUUGAUACUGCCUGGCUGGAAUGCGGAUGCCGUGGGAGGAAUGUGUGGUGUAGCGGUGAAAUGCAUAGAUAUCACACAGAACACCGAUUGCGAAGGCAUCUCACGAAUCCGCGAUUGACGCUGAUGCACGAAAGCGUGGGUAUCAAACAGGAUUAGAUACCCUGGUAGUC
rnacentral:rRNA from 1 species